rnacentral:lncRNA from 1 species
UGAGCACCCAAAGUGAGCAAAAGAACAGAGUGACACAAUGACAUAGAUCGAGUGGCAUUUAAAAAUGUAAAGUAAAGAGACACUAGAGUUAGUGUGAUGCAAAGAACUAACGUGAUGUAAAGAAUGAUGAAAAUGACCAUGAGUAAGAUUAAAGUAAAGUGGGGCAAUAAGAACAAGAAUUGUAACGAAUAAGAAUGCUAGAGUUAGCAAGAGUAGAGAAAUGUAAAGAAUGUAAUUGCAUGAGUUUGCAACAAAAAGUGAUGAAAGAACACUAGAGCUAGUGUAAAGUCAAGAUUGAACUUAUAAAUCCUUUGAGUUAAGGAUAUGAUCAUACUUGCUAUGAGUUCCGUGCUUGAGGGCGGUCGCUCCCCCUCGGGCGAUGCGCUCCGGAGUUAUGUAUCACGGGUUGGAGUAAACCCGAAGGACGGUCCUAGCGGGUGAGUUCCUGCGAUGAUGGACUUAAUGUGAAGCA